rnacentral:rRNA from 1 species
UACCCGCUGAACUUAAGCAUAUCAAUAAGCGGAGGAAAAGAAACCAACAGGGAUUGCCCUAGUAACGGCGAGUGAAGCGGCAACAGCUCAAAUUUGAAAUCUGGCUCUUUUAGAGUCCGAGUUGUAAUUUGCAGAGGGCGCUUUGGCUUUGGCAGCGGUCCAAGUUCCUUGGAACAGGACGUCACAGAGGGUGAGAAUCCCGUACGUGGUCGCUAGCUAUUGCCGUGUAAAGCCCCUUCGACGAGUCGAGUUGUUUGGGAAUGCAGCUCUAAAUGGGAGGUAAAUUUCUUCUAAAGCUAAAUAUUGGCCAGAGACCGAUAGCGCACAAGUAGAGUGAUCGAAAGAUGAAAAGCACUUUGGAAAGAGAGUCAAACAGCACGUGAAAUUGUUGAAAGGGAAGCGCUUGCAGCCAGACUUGCUUGCAGUUGCUCAUCCGGGCUUUUGCCCGGUGCACUCUUCUGCAGGCAGGCCAGCAUCAGUUUGGGCGGUGGGAUAAAGGUCUCUGUCACGUACCUCCUUUCGGGGAGGCCUUAUAGGGGAGGCGACAUACCACCAGCCUGGACUGAGGUCCGCGCAUUCGCUAGGAUGCUGGCGUAAUGGCUGUAAGCGGCCCGUCUUGAAACACGGACCAAGGAGUCUAACAUCUAUGCGAGUGUUUGGGUGUCAAGCCCGAACGCGUAAUGAAAGUGAACGGAGGUGGGAACCCGCAAGGGUGCACCAUCGACCGAUCCUGAUGUCUUCGGAAGGAUUUGAGUAAGAGCAUGGCUGUUGGGACCCGAAAGAUGGUGAACUAUGCUUGAAUAGGGUGAAGCCAGAGGAAACUCUGGUGGAGGCUCGCAGCGGUUCUGACGUGCAAAUCGAUCGUCAAAUUUGGGCAUAGGGGCGAAAGACUAAUCGAACUAUCUAGUAGCUGGUUCCUGCCGAAGUUUCCCUCAGGAUAGCAGUAACGUAUUCAGUUUUAUGAGGUAAAGCGAAUGAUUAGAGGCCUGGGGGUUGAAACAACCUUCACCUAUUCUCAAACUUUAAAUAUGUAAGAAGUGCUUGUUGCUUAAUUGAACGUGCACAUUUGAAUGAAACGUUAUUAG